GAUGAACGCUGACAGAAUGCUUAACACAUGCAAGUCGAUGGGGAAGUGGUGCUUGCACCAUGGUAACCAUGGCGGACGGGUGAGUAACGCGUAAGGAACUUGCCUGCGGGACUGGGAUAACAGCAGGAAACUGCUGAUAAUACCGGAUAAGGUCAUUAAGCUGCUUAGCUUAGUGAUGAAAGGAGACGCCUGCGGAGAGCCUUGCGUCCUAUUAGCUAGUUGGAGGGGUAACGGCCCACCAAGGCGAAGAUAGGUAGCCGGCCUGAGAGGGUGGACGGCCACAAGGGGACUGAGAUACGGCCCUUACUCCUACGGGAGGCAGCAGUGGGGAAUAUUGGACAAUGGGGGCAACCCUGAUCCAGCAAUUCUGUGUGCACGAAGACGGUUUUCGGAUUGUAAAGUGCUUUCAGCAGGGAAGAAGGAAGUGACGGUACCUGCAGAAGAAGCGACGGCUAAAUACGUG
rnacentral:rRNA from 1 species